rnacentral:snRNA from 1 species
AGCUUUGAGAAGUGGCAGUAUCGUAGCCAAUGAGGUUUAUCCGAGGCGCGAUUAUUGCUAAUUGAAAACUUUUCCCAAUACCCCACCAUGACGACUUGCAAUAUAGUCGGCAUUGGCAAUUUUUGACGGUCCUUACGGGGA